rnacentral:rRNA from 1 species
UACGAAGGGGGCUAGCGUUGCUCGGAAUCACUGGGCGUAAAGGGUGCGUAGGCGGGUCUUUAAGUCAGGGGUGAAAUCCUGGAGCUCAACUCCAGAACUGCCUUUGAUACUGAAGAUCUUGAGUUCGGGAGGGGUGAGUGGAACUGCGAGUGUAGAGGUGAAAUUCGUAGAUAUUCGCAAGAACACCAGUGGCGAAGGCGGCUCACUGGCCCGAUACUGACGCUGAGGCACGAAAGCGUGGGGAGCAAACAGG